GUAGGCGGAAUGUAUGGUGUAGCGGUGAAAUGCUUAGAGAUCAUACAGAACACCGAUUGCGAAGGCAGCUUACCAAACUAUAUCUGACGUUGAGGCACGAAAGCGUGGGGAGCAAACAGGAUUAGAUACCCUGGUAGUCCACGCAGUAAACGAUGAUAGCUCGUUGUCGGCGAUACACAGUCGGUGACUUAGAGAAAUCGAUAAGCUAUCCACCUGGGGAGUACGUUCGCAAGAAUGAAACUCAAAGGAAUUGACGGGGGCCCGCACAAGCGGAGGAACAUGUGGUUUAAUUCGAUGAUACGCGAGGAACCUUACCCGGGCUUGAAAGUUAGUGACGGAUCAGGAAACUGAUCUUCCCUUCGGGGCACGAAACUAGGUGCUGCAUGGUUGUCGUCAGCUCGUGCCGUGAGGUGUCGGGUUAAGUCCCAUAACGAGCGCAACCCCUGCUGAUAGUUGCCAUCAGGUCAAGCUGGGCACUCUAUCGGGACUGCCUCUGUAAGGAGGAGGAGGGUGGGGAUGACGUCAAAUCAGCACGGCCCUUACGUCCGGGGCGACACACGUGUUACAAUGGUAGGUACAGAGGGCAGCCACCCAGCGAUGGGGAGCAAAUCUCGAAAGCCUAUCUCAGUUCGGAUUGGAGGCUGAAACUCGCCUCCAUGAAGUUGGAUUCGCUAGUAAUCGCGCGAUCAGCCAUGGCGCGGGAAACUCCCGUUGGCG
rnacentral:rRNA from 1 species